rnacentral:lncRNA from 1 species
AAGAUAUCUGGUUUUAUUUUCCUUCCAUUUGUUAAUCCUCGCUUUGGACAGCUCUAAUCAUGAUUUUAUUUAUGAGGGCAUUCUUCCUCUCUCAGCCAUUGAGGUGCGUCUGAUCCCACAGCAGGACCAUAGUUCUCCAGAUAUGUUUGAGAUUAGCGGCCCUAUGGUGGACUCAAAGAUCUUCCUUUGUGCUACUGCUGCUGAAACAAAAACCUGGAUGGAGAAUAUCGAGGACAGGAGAUACAAAUCCCUAAGGCAACAGCUGAGCCCGUCCCAUAGCGCGCUCUCAUACCUGGUGCCAUGUAAUGAAAACUGGAAAAGGGAGGAGCUUAAAAGGUACUUACUGCGGUCUCCCAUCUUGCAAUGGGAGGGGAAGCCCAUUCAGCACAUGGGCCAUCCAAGAUACAUUUCACUGGUGCACAUCAGCAACAUAUACACACAGGUAAGAGUAUAG